rnacentral:tRNA from 1 species
GCCUCGGUAGCUCAGCCUGGUAGAGCCAAACUAAUGGCCUUGAAAGGCAGAGGUCGCGGGUCCGAAGCCCGCCCGAGGCU